UACGUAGGGUGCAAGCGUUGUCCGGAAUUAUUGGGCGUAAAGAGCUCGUAGGCGGUUUGUCGCGUCUGCUGUGAAAACCCGCGGCUCAACCGUGUGGUCUGCAGUCGAUACGGGCAGGCUAGAGUUCGGAAGGGGCUACUGGAAUUCUCGGUGUAGCGGUGAAAUGCGUAGAUAUCGAGAGGAACACCUGCGGCGAAGGCGGGUAGCUGGGCCGACACUGACGCUGAUGCGCGAAAGCCAGGGGAGCGAACGGG
rnacentral:rRNA from 1 species